GCCUGGGUGGCUCAGUUGGUUAAGCAUCUGACUUCAGCUCAGGUCAUAAUCUCAUGGCUCGUGAGUUCAAGCCCCGCAUCAGGCU
rnacentral:tRNA from 1 species